UCACUUUUCUCUUUAUACCCUGGCUUCUUUUUAUUUUUUAUUUCUUGUUAUAGCAAUUCUCUUUCUAUUCCUCACUCGUCUUCUUCUUCUCAACGAAAUCAGAUUCCUCCACGCCGAUCUCCCUCCACCACCAAUAAUCGCGGCGAAAUCUCCCUCCACCACUAAACAAUCAUCAUUGUCUCUCUUCUCUAGUCAAUUUCAGCAUAAGUUCACAUGCGGCUAAGCAUGCACAUGCAUCAGAUAUGCAGUCACUACUAGAUGAUGAUGCUUGAACACAAUGACAGUGGGAUGUAGGUCAGGACGACGUAGGGCCGCAAGACACAUGUGAUCAAAGAGAUUCACCUGAUGUAUCCGACUCCAAGUAAUCAUAUGAUAUGAUUAGCUUGAAAUAACUAAUUUUCAAAUGGUGUCUGUUUGACAUGGAUUAUUUGAAACAACACUCGUUCAACAAGCUUAAAUGGGCAGUAAAAACAUUGAGAAGUUGAAGUUCAAGUUGUCUGAUGAGAGGAAGAAAAGGAGUUGGCUUAUCAUGAGAAUUUUUUAUUGCAUAUUUAAUUACUUAGUAUUUAGGGGGAAACUUAUGGAUUUUACUUGUAAUUAAUGUCAUGUACUUGAAAUAAUGUUAUAUGUUACUCUUGUUUUCUGUUUUGAUUGUUUUUUAAGAACUAUGUAAGGUUGAACAUGAUAGUAUUUGUAUCAUAUUGUGUGUGCGAUGUAACUUGGUGUGAUGCACAAA